rnacentral:precursor_RNA from 13 species
AGUUGAGGCCCAGAGAGGUUGAGUGCUUGCUCCGUGCAGAGCACUAUACUAAGUGUACCAUACAACCCAAAGCUUAGUAAAGUACUCUGCGCAUGGUAAGCGCUCAAUAAAUGCCACUGAUGGAUGU